rnacentral:piRNA from 1 species
GAUAUAUUUGAGUGGAAUAAC